rnacentral:lncRNA from 1 species
GCAGGAGCGCGGCUCUCGGGCAGCUGCAGCGCGCCCAGCCUGGCGGCCCCGGACGGUGGCAGCGCGACCCCCGGGUCCCGUGCCCCGGCCGCCAGCAUGAGCGCCACCAGGAAGAGCCGGGCCAGCGACGAGCCGUUGCCCAGGCCCCCGCGGGGCGCGCCGCACGCCAGCGACCAGGUGCUGGGGUCGGGAGUCACCUAUGUGGUCAAGGGAAGCCAUCAGCCGUGUCUGCGAAGCUGUGCCAGGCGCCAAAGGAGCCUUCAAGAAGAGAAAGCCUCCGAGUAAAAUGCUGUCCAGCAUCCUGGGGAAGAGCAACCUCCAGUUCGCAGGGAUGAGCAUCUCCCUGACCAUCUCCACCGCCAGCCUGAACCUGCGCACUCCUGACUCCAAACAG